rnacentral:rRNA from 1 species
AAUGAACGCUGGCGGCAUGCCUAACACAUGCAAGUCGAACGAGACCUUCGGGCCUAGUGGCGCACGGGUGCGUAACGCGUGGGAAUCUGCCCUUGGGUUCGGAAUAACUCAGAGAAAUUUGAGCUAAUACCGGAUGAUGUCGUAAGACCAAAGAUUUAUCGCCCAAGGAUGAGCCCGCGUAGGAUUAGCUAGUUGGCGGGGUAAAGGCCCACCAAGGCGACGAUCCUUAGCUGGUCUGAGAGGAUGAUCAGCCACACUGGGACUGAGACACGGCCCAGACUCCUACGGGAGGCAGCAGUGGGGAAUAUUGGACAAUGGGCGAAAGCCUGAUCCAGCAAUGCCGCGUGAGUGAUGAAGGCCUUAGGGUUGUAAAGCUCUUUUACCCGGGAUGAUAAUGACAGUACCGGGAGAAUAAGCUCCGGCUAACUUCGUGCCAGCCGCCGCAGUAAGAC